rnacentral:rRNA from 1 species
GACGAACGCUGGCGGCGUGCUUAACACAUGCAAGUCGAACGGAAAGGCCCUGCUUUUGUGGGGUGCUCGAGUGGCGAACGGGUGAGUAACACGUGAGUAACCUACCCUUGACUUUGGUAUAACUUCAGGAAACUGGGGCUAAUACCGGAUAGGAGCUCCUGCUGCAUGGUGGGGGUUGGAAAGUUUCGGCGGUUGGGGAUGGACUCGCGGCUUAUCAGCUUGUUGGUGGGGUAGUGGCUUACCAAGGCUUUGACGGGUAGCCGGCCUGAGAGGGUGACCGGCCACAUGGGGACUGAGAUACGGACCAGACGCCUAUGGGAGGCAGCAGUGGGGAAUAUUGCACAAUGGGAGGAAGCCUGAUGCAGCAACGCCGCGUGCGGGAUGACGGCCUUCGGGUUGUAAACCGCUUUCGCCUGUGACGAAGCGUGAGUGACGGUAAUGGGUAAAGAAGCACCGGCUAACUACGUG